ACGCUGGCGGCAGGCCUAACACAUGCAAGUCGAGCGCACCUUCGGGUGAGCGGCGGACGGGUUAGUAACGCGUGGGAAUAUGCCCAAUGGUACGGAAUAGCCUCUGGAAACGGAGAGUAAUACCGUAUGUGCCCUUCGGGGGAAAGAUUUAUCGCCAUUGGAUUAGCCCGCGUUGGAUUAGGUAGUUGGUGGGGUAAUGGCCUACCAAGCCUACGAUCCAUAGCUGGUUUGAGAGGAUGAUCAGCAACACUGGGACUGAGACACGGCCCAGACUCCUACGGGAGGCAGCAGUGGGGAAUCUUAGACAAUGGGCGCAAGCCUGAUCUAGCCAUGCCGCGUGAGUGACGAAGGCCUUAGGGUCGUAAAGCUCUUUCGCCAGAGAUGAUAAUGACAGUAUCUGGUAAAGAAACCCCGGCUAACUCCGUGC
rnacentral:rRNA from 1 species